rnacentral:rRNA from 1 species
AUUGAACGCUGGCGGCAGGCCUAACACAUGCAAGUCGAACGGUAACAGGAAGACGCUUGCUUCUUUGCUGACGAGUGGCGGACGGGUGAGUAAUGUCUGGGAAACUGCCUGAUGGAGGGGGAUAACUACUGGAAACGGUAGCUAAUACCGCAUAACGUCGCAAGACCAAAGAGGGGGACCUUCGGUCCUCUUGCCAUCGGAUGUGCCCAGAUGGGAUUAGCUAGUAGGUGGGGUAACGGCUCACCUAGGCGACGAUCCCUAGCUGGUCUGAGAGGAUGACCAGCCACACUGGAACUGAGACACGGUCCAGACUCCUACGGGAGGCAGCAGUGGGGAAUAUUGCACAAUGGGCGCAAGCCUGAUGCAGCCAUGCCGCGUGUAUGAAGAAGGCCUUCGGGUUGUAAAGUACUUUCAGCGGGGAGGAAGGGAGUAAAGUUAAUACCUUUGCUCAUUGACGUUACCCGCAGAAGAAGCACCGGCUAACUCCGUG